rnacentral:rRNA from 1 species
GUGCGUAAUAGCUCACUAGUCGAGUGACCCUGCGCCGAAAAUGUACCGGGGCUAAAUAGUUUACCGAAGCUGUGGAACACACCAAUGGUGUGUUGGUAGGAGAGCGUUCUAAGGGCGUUGAAGGUAGAUCGUGAGGACUGCUGGAGCGCUUAGAAGUGAGAAUGCCGGUAUGAGUAGCGAAAGACAGGUGAGAAUCCUGUCCACCGAAUGACUAAGGUUUCCUGGGGAAGGCUCGUCCGCCCAGGGUUAGUCGGGACCUAAGCCGAGGCCGAAAGGCGUAGGCGAUGGAUAACAGGUUGAUAUUCCUGUACCCGUUGUUUUUGUUUGAGCAAUGGAGGGACGCAGGAGGCUAAGGAAUCAGACGAUUGGAAAUGUCUGUCCAAGCAAUGAGUCUUGAUGUGAGUCAAAUGCUUACAUCUUUAAGGACAAGUUGUGAUGGGGAGGGAAAUAAUAGUACCGAAGUUCCUGAUGUCACACUGCCGAGAAAAGCUUCUAGUGAGAAAACAAUGGCCCGUACCGCAAACCGACA